CCUACGGGAGGCAGCAGUGAGGAAUAUUUGUCAAUGGACGAGAGUCUGAACCAGCCAAGUAGCGUGAAGGAUGACUGCCCUAUGGGUUGUAAACUUCUUUUAUAUGGGAAUAAAAUGUUCCACGUGUGGGAUUUUGUAUGUACCAUAUGAAUAAGGAUCGGCUAACUCCGUGCCAGCAGCCGCGGUAAUACGGAGGAUCCGAGCGUUAUCCGGAUUUAUUGGGUUUAAAGGGAGCGUAGGUGGAUUGUUAAGUUAGUUUUGAAAGUUUGCGGCUCAACCGUAAAAUUGCAGUUGAAACUGGCAGUCUUGAGUACAGUAGAGGUGGGCGGAAUUCGUGGUGUAGCGGUGAAAUGCUUAGAUAUCACGAAGAACUCCGAUUGCGAAGGCAGCCUACUAAACUGCCACUGACAUUGAUGCUCGAAAGUGUGGGUAUCAAACAGGAUUAGAUACCCCUGUAGUC
rnacentral:rRNA from 1 species